rnacentral:rRNA from 1 species
GGGCCCGCACAAGCGGUGGAGUAUGUGGUUUAAUUCGAUGCAACGCGAAGAACCUUACCAGGGUUUGACAUCCUGCGAAUUUCUUGGAAACGAGAAAGUGCCUUCGGGAACGCAGUGACAGGUGGUGCAUGGCUGUCGUCAGCUCGUGUCGUGAGAUGUUGGGUUAAGUCCCGCAACGAGCGCAACCCACGUCUUUAGUUGCCAGCAUUUAGUUGGGCACUCUAGAGAGACCGCCGGUGAUAAACCGGAGGAAGGUGUGGAUGACGUCAAGUCAUCAUGCCCCUUACAUCCUGGGCUACACACGUACUACAAUGCUACGGACAAAGAGCAGCAAGUUCGCGAGGACAAGCAAAUCCCAUAAACCGUGGCUCAGUUCAGAUCGUAGGCUGCAACUCGCCUACGUGAAGUAGGAAUCGCUAGUAAUCG